rnacentral:rRNA from 1 species
UACGGAGGGGGCUAGCGUUGUUCGGAAUUACUGGGCGUAAAGCGCACGUAGGCGGCUUUGUAAGUUAGAGGUGAAAGCCCAGGGCUUAACCCUGGAAUUGCCUUUAAGACUGCAUCGCUAGAAUCGUGGAGAGGUGAGUGGAAUUCCGAGUGUAGAGGUGAAAUUCGUUGAUAUUCGGAAGAACACCAGUGGCGAAGGCGACUCACUGGACACGUAUUGACGCUGAGGUGCGAAAGCGUGGGGAGCAAACAGG